CCCUGACUCCUGUACCAUUGAGCACAGAAUAGGAACAACAAGUCCUCUCAGACCUACAUUGUGUUUAUUCCUGUAGCAUUUGGAACCCAUUAUUGCAACCAAAUAUGACAUUGUUCAUCACACUGAACACUCAUUCCACUGGAUUGUUUGCUCCAGGUAAACACAGAGCAAAUUCAACUUAGUAUGGCAAUAUGUCCUGAACAAACAUUUUA